AUCCUGUUUUCCUCUGACUUAUGAUAUCAUGAACUCUUUCCCGGCUCAUGAAAUAUUCUCUGAAAACAACACCUUUAAUAAUUCUGCUCUGGGACAGGAAGGACACGGUCCAUUAUGUUCAGCCCUGUGUCUUCAACACUCAGCACGGUGUCCGGCACAGGCUCUUGACUGCAACCCCCGGACCGGCGGCUUUCCCACCCCAACCUUCCUGCUCUACGUUGUCUGGCUGCUCUGAGGUUUCCUGUGCUUCCAUCUCAGAUGUUCAGAGACCCAGGGUCCCUGUCCAGCCAAACUACUGUGUUGUUGAAGUUAAGAUUUUCACAUGACCUCUCUUGUGUUGGCUGCGAAGGCGUGUGGUGCUCUUCCAAGAGUGCUUCCAGGCCCCCAGUGGCAGAGACUGGUAUGUUUAAACGGUCUCCAGUGGGUGAUGAGGUAAGACAGAUAGGGUGGAUCUUACUGUCAAUUCCACGCCAGUCUCCACACUCUUUGGUAACAAAUGCAACACAUUCGCUACGCUCACACUUUGAGAAUCAUGGAAAGAAGUUUUAUGAAGUACUUUUAUUUUUUAACUAAUUAAUUAGAGAGAGAAUGAGAAUGAGCAAGGGGAAGGGGGAGGGAGAAGGAGAGAGAAUCCCGAGCCGACUCUGUGCUGAGCCCAGAGCCCAACAUGGGGCUCCAUCUCAUGACC